GGCGGACGGGUGAGUAACACGUGAGAAUCUGCCUUCAGGCCUGGGACAACAGGGGGAAACCCUUGCUAAUACCGGAUGUGCCCUUGGGUGAAAGAUUAAUUGCCUGAAGAUGAGCUCGCGACUGAUUAGCUAGUUGGUGGGGUAAAGGCCUACCAAGGCGACGAUCAGUAGCUGGUCUGAGAGGACGAUCAGCCACACUGGGACUAAGACACGGCCCAGACUCCUACGGGAGGCAGCAGUGGGGAAUUUUCCGCAAUGGGCGAAAGCCUGACGGAGCAAUACCGCGUGGGGGAGGAAGGCUCUUGGGUCGUAAACCCCUUUUCUCAGGGAAGAACACAAUGACGGUACCUGAGGAAUCAGCAUCGGCUAACUCCGUGCCAGCAGCCGCGGUAAUACGGAGGAUGCAAGCGUUAUCCGGAAUCAUUGGGCGUAAAGCGUCCGUAGGUGGUGUUUCAAGUCUGCUGUUAAAGCCCGGGGCUCAACCCUGGAGGAGCAGUGGAAACUGGAGUACUGGAGUGCGGUAGGGGUAGAGGGAAUUCCCGGAGUAGCGGUGAAAUGCGUAGAUAUCGGGAAGAACACCAGUGGCGAAAGCGCUCUACUGGACCGUAACUGACACUGAUGGACGAAAGCUAGGGGAGCGAAUGGGAUUAGAUACCCCAGUAGUCCUAGCCGUAAACGAUGGACACUAGGUGUUGCACGUAUCGACCCGUGCAGUGCCGUAGCCAACGCGUUAAGUGUCCCGCCUGGGGA
rnacentral:rRNA from 1 species